UCCGUUUUAACAACGGCAGUCUCCCUAGAGUGCCCAACUAAAUGAUGGCAACUAAGGACAGGGGUUGCGCUCGUUGCGCCACUUAAGGCAACACCUCACGGCACGAGCUGACGACAGCCAUGCACCACCUGUGCAGGCUCCGUAGAGCGCCGGCUUUCACCCGCUUUAACCAGCAUGUCAAGCCUAGGUAAGGUUCUUCGCGUCGCAUCGAAUUAAGCCACAUGCUCCGCCGCUUGUGCGGGUCCCCGUCAAUUCCUUUGAGUUUUAGCCUUGCGGCCGUACUCCCCAGGCGGGGUGCUUAAUGCGUUAGCUGCGGCACGGAAAGGGUUGAAGACCUCCCCACACCUAGCACCCAACGUUUACGGCUGGGACUAC
rnacentral:misc_RNA from 1 species